AGUGGAUGGGGAGCAACCUAGUUGUGCGUGUGUAAAGGUAGUGCCAAGAAAAGCGGUGAUCAUGAUGAAAAUCAAUUCCCGGUACCCGAAACCGACACAGGUGGGCAAGUAGAGAAUACUAAGGGGCGCGAGGUAACUCUCUCCAAGGAACUCGGCAAAAUGACCCCGUAACUUAGGGAGAAGGGGUGCCACCGAGAGGUGGUCGCAGUGAAGAGGCCCAGGCGACUGUUUAGCAAAAACAUAGGUCUCUGCAAACUCGAAAGAGGAGGUAUAGGGGCUGACGCCUGCCCAGUGCCGGAAGGUUAAAGAAGUUGGUCAGUCUUAGGAUGAAGCUAGCGACUGAAGCCCCGGUGAACGGCGGCCGUAACUAUAACGGUCCUAAGGUAGCGAAAUUCCUUGUCGGGUAAGUUCCGACCCGCACGAAAGGCGUAACGAUCUGGGCGCUGUCUCGGAGAGAGGCUCGGCGAAAUAGGAUUGUCUGUGAAGAUACGGACUACCUGCAUUUGGACAGAAAGACCCUAUGAAGCUUUACUAUAGCUUGGAAUUGUGUUCGGGCUUCCUGUGCGCAGGAUAGGUGGGAGGCGAAGAAGGUAUUCUUGUGGGGAUACUGGAGCCAACGGUGAGAUACCACUCUCAGGAGGCUAGAAUUCUAACUUAAUUAAGGACAGUUUCAGGUGGGUAGUUUGACUGGGGCGGUCGCCUCCAAAAAGGUAACGGAGGCGUACAAAGGUUCCCUCAGACUGGUUGGAAAUCAGUCGCAGAGUGCAAAGGCAGAAGGGAGCUUGACUGCGAGAAGUACAGUUCGAGCAGGGUGGAAACACGGUCUUAGUGAUCCGACGGUGCUGUGUGGAAGGGCCGUCGCUCAACGGAUAAAAGUUACUCUAGGAUAACAGGCUGAUCUCCCCCAAGAGUUCACAUCGACGGGGAGGUUUGGCACCUCGAUGUCGGCUCAUCGCAACCUGGGGCGGAAGUACGUCCCAAGGGUUGGGCUGUUCGCCCAUUAACGCGGUACGUGAGCUGGGUUCAGAACGUCGUGAGACAGUUCGGUCCAUAUCCGAUGUAGGCGUGAGAAUAUUGAGAGGAGCCUUCCUUAGUACGAGAGGACCGGGAAGGACGCACCGCUGGUGUACCUGUUAUGAUGCCAAUUGUAAACGCAGGGUAGCCAAGUGCGGAGAGGAUAACCGCUGAAAGCAUCUAAGUGGGAAGCCCACCUCAAGAUGAGUAUUCUGGUGUAAGGUCACGGGAAGACGACCCGUAAAUAGGCACGAGGUGGAAGUGCAGAGAUGUAUGAAGCCGAAGUGUACUAAUAGACCGUCGGCUUGAC
rnacentral:rRNA from 1 species